GGAAUUGUUUCUGAUUGGACACACAUUCAACCUCCUCUCCACGCUUUAUCUCUCACCUAUCUUCUUCUCUUUCUUUCACCACCACCACCCUCCCAUCCGCUAUCUCACCACCAUCAUCAGUUCUCAGAUCCGACGCCACCACCACCGUCUCGUCAUAAUCACCACUCAGCUCUCUGAUUUCGUUUUCUCUAAUUUGAGAAAGAAGCACGAGGCGGUCACCAGUGGCAGUGCUUUUACCAAAUCUAAAAGCAUUGAUUCAGGGCUGGUAAAUCUGCUGGAGUUAAAGUGAUGGAGAACAUACUACCAAUUGACUUGGUUGGGCUCUAAAUGACUCGGAAUCCCACAGUGGUGGGUUUUUUAAGCGAGAAGGGAUAACCAAAUAUCACUAGGUUAUGCAGAUGUGGUGUGGAGAUGGCAGAGGAAGCUAGGGUGGUGGUAGAUUUGGAGCCUAGCAAGAACAAAAAGAGAAAGGUAGUCGUGAGCAGUCAUGACAGAUGAUAAGCUUGAUGGUGGUGGAAUAGCAGAGACAAUGGUGAGGUUUGAUGGUGGCUGUUCAAAGACGAUGUGGUAGAAGAAGAAGAAAUCCGUUGACGGCGAAGAGUUUAGAUGUAGGGCUAAUUUUUUUUAAGGUUAGGCUGUUUUAUGUUUAGAUUAGUAAACCGGGUCUGGUUUACUUAAUUUUUUAAUGUUGGUUUAGUAUUGUAAAACUGAUUUUAUUAAUAAAAAAAUUUUCAUUUUAAUUAUAAAUAAAUAUUCGAUUUAAUUUUCAGCUAUUUAAUUUUAACAAAUUAAUUUUAUUAAUUUCUUCAUUUAAUUAAUUAAUUCAAUUAAUAAUUUAAUUAUUUUAUUUUUAACUAUAGCAUUAUAUCUUUGUCAUAAUAAAAUAUUUUAUAGCACUAAGGAAAAACCAUAGAAAAAUAUAUAAUAGCAAAAAUGAGAUGCUACUAAAAUGUAUUAAUGUAGCGAAAAUAAAACGCUAUAAUAUCUCUAUUUAUUAUAGCUCAUGAAAAAACGCUACGAUAAGAGGUGGGUCAACCGUAGCUGCGGUAGAUCUAGCAUUUGUGAAAAUUCUACGAAAACCUUGUGGUACCAUUUUCGAUGUGCUACUAAUUAAUGUCGAUAUUUCUUGUAGUGAACCUACGCUCCUUUGCUCCUUUCCAUUGUCUGUGCAUUCGUAUUCAUUCACAGUUGAGUGAUAUUGUUUGAUUAUAUUCACCUUAGUCUCUACCUCCACCGUGUACCAACCAGGCGACCAUCAACCAUGCAUAUCACUUUUAUUCGGAUUCUAUUGACGCUGACUCUUAGCGCGUAACAAACUAUGUAGGAUCCACACUCCAAGACUGUGCAUGUGAUGACAUUCAAGAUCGACUAUAUAUAUAGUCUUCACUCGAUCAAAAUAUUGUAUGGACCAUCAUGAAUCAAAUUAUUGACUCUAACACUGCUGGACUCAAGAUUGAGUUCCAAUAGUUUCGGCGGGCCUACUUAAUUAACAGUCAGUCCAAGAGCUUAAGGGCCCUCUUCGCUAAUUAAAUUCUACUAGUUGGCAUUUCUAACUAUAAAAGUGGUUCGUCCGUAAAUUAUUGUUUUCCAUUAAAUGGAAACAAGCACGUAGGUGAUAGUUAAUGUGAUGUUUUAUACUUAUCACGUGAAAACCAUCGGUUUCUCGUCCAUAUGAACCAAAUUUUCACAAAACAAUGUUCGAUCGAGUGAGUAAAUGGAAACACGAGAGCAACACAAGACAAUUUGUUCACCUGGUGUUCACUGAUCUACUCACCAGGAAGGGAGUCUGUAUCCCUCAAUAGCUUCACUAUCAAAAAUCCAACCAAGGUUACAAGAUCAACAAUGGUGAUUCUUCUAAAACAUAGAGAUUACACAAGAACUUAACGAGCUUAUCGUUUCCUCUGUGAAGUCGAAAACUCACUGCCGAAAUGGUUCGAUCUGACCGUAUACCGCCUCUGCAACUCUAUUGUGAUUCACCCUCAUGAUCUCAUGCUAAGUCUUCUUCUCUCUUGUUCUCUGAUCUUGAUCAUCUCUCUCAAUUUGAAUCUGGCCAUUGUAACAACUUUAUCCACAAUCAGAUGUGAAACGAAUCGUCUCACUUAUACAUGAUAGCAUAUGGGCUGAGAUUUGGGCUUUUUCUUUUUGCAGGUUUCGGAUGAGCCAAAACUGAGACACACAUGACGAUUAGCCAGAAGAGAAAAAAACCAUUUCGGAGUUUGGCUGAAUCAGAUCCACAAAAACUACAGGCAAACUCGUAAAAAAAAGACAAAUCAGAACAAAGCACAAAUAAAUUAUACAAAACCUUGAAAACAAAUGGACUAUUAAAUGCAAGACUGGCAGGUAAAUAACACAUAUUUGUUGGACCCAGUUUCAGUCAAUACAUUAAUGGGUCACGAUCAAUGAUAUGGGCUGCGAAGAGUCUAAGCACAUAGCGAGCACGCGAGCUCCAGACAGAGACUUCGAAGAACCGGAGAUCGCGGAACAGUUGCGAAGAUCACGGGAGCAGCCUGUUAUAAGAGGAGAUACACAUUGAAAACCCUAGAGAGAGCUACACCCAUAUUUCGACCUUGUUUUCAUCCAUCUUUAGAUCCUUUCUCUUAACGAUCUCGUUUGUAAUAUUCGAUCUUGUUUAACUCAUUGUAUUCUAUCUUAUUCAUCAAUAAAAAUCCAUUUAUAUCUACUGAAAACUGAUUACAUC